GACGAACGCUGGCGGCGUGCCUAAUACAUGCAAGUAGGACGCACAGUCUAUACCGUAGCUUGCUACACCAUAGACUGUGAGUUGCGAACGGGUGAGUAACGCGUAGGUAACCUGCCUAUUAGAGGGGGAUAACUAUUGGAAACGAUAGCUAAUACCGCAUAACAGUAUGUAACACAUGUUAGAUGCUUGAAAGAUGCAAUUGCAUCGCUAGUAGAUGGACCUGCGUUGUAUUAGCUAGUAGGUAGGGUAAUGGCCUACCUAGGCGACGAUACAUAGCCGACCUGAGAGGGUGAUCGGCCACACUGGGACUGAGACACGGCCCAGACUCCUACGGGAGGCAGCAGUAGGAAAUCUUCGGCAAUGGGGGGAACCCUGACCGAGCAACGCCGCGUGAGUGAAGAAGGUUUUCGGAUCGUAAAGCUCUGUUGUUAAGGAAGAACGAGUGUGAGAAUGGAAAGUUCAUACUGUGACGGUACUUAACCAGAAAGGGACGGCUAACUACGUGCCAGCAGCCGCGGUAAUACGUAGGUCCCGAGCGUUGUCCGGAUUUAUUGGGCGUAAAGCGAGCGCAGGCGGUUAGAAAAGUCUGAAGUGAAAGGCAGUGGCUCAACCAUUGUAGGCUUUGGAAACUGUUUAACUUGAGUGCAGAAGGGGAGAGUGGAAUUCCAUGUGUAGCGGUGAAAUGCGUAGAUAUAUGGAGGAACACCGGUGGCGAAAGCGGCUCUCUGGUCUGUAACUGACGCUGAGGCUCGAAAGCGUGGGGAGCGAACAGG
rnacentral:rRNA from 1 species